GUAUGGGUAUUCUACCUACAGGUUUUCCUUCACUGUUGCCCUUUUCAGGAACAAGACUUAUCUCUCACCUAGCCUAAGUUAAGGGAAGAAAGUCGGAGGCUGGCUUUGGCUGCGAAAAGAGAAAAAAGAAAAGAGAAGAGAAGGAAGAAAAAGGAAGAACAAAGAAGGAAACUAGAAGAAAUUGAAGCCAAAAAUAAAGAGAACUUUGAACUCCAAGCUGCUCAAGAAAAAGAAAAGCUUAAAGUUGAAGGGGAUGGUUUCCAGGACCCUCACGGAUACCAAAAUUCAGAUACUCAAGUCUUUAUAUAACAUGGUGUAAUAUUUGCAUAAAAAUUAUGCACAUUCUCCCAUAUACUUUAAAUCAUCUCUACAUUACCUCUAAUACCUAAUAUAACGCAAAUGCUAUGUAAAUAGUUGUUAUACUGUAUUUUUUAAAUUCGUAUUUGUUUUUUGUUUUGUUUUUUGAAUACUUUCAAUCUAGUGUUGGUUAAAUCUAUGGAUAAAGAGGACUGACUGUAUUGUGGGAAGGAACCAUUGCCAUGAAACCACCAAAAAUAUGUGCAUGCAA
rnacentral:sRNA from 1 species